rnacentral:rRNA from 1 species
UAAAACAAACCUCCUCCUGGAAGUUGACCU